UAGGGAAUCUUCCGCAAUGGGCGAAAGCCUGACGGAGCAACGCCGCGUGAGUGAUGAAGGUCUUCGGAUCGUAAAACUCUGUUAUUAGGGAAGAACAAAUGUGUAAGUAACUAUGCACGUCUUGACGGUACCUAAUCAGAAAGCCACGGCUAACUACGUGCCAGCAGCCGCGGUAAUACGUAGGUGGCAAGCGUUAUCCGGAAUUAUUGGGCGUAAAGCGCGCGUAGGCGGUUUUUUAAGUCUGAUGUGAAAGCCCACGGCUCAACCGUGUAGGGUCAUUGGAAACUGGAAAACUUGAGUGCAGAAGAGGAAAGUGGAAUUCCAUGUGUAGCGGUGAAAUGCGCAGAGAUAUGGAGGAACACCAGUGGCGAAGGCGACUUUCUGGUCUGUAACUGACGCUGAUGUGCGAAAGCGUGGGGAUCAAACAGG
rnacentral:rRNA from 1 species